rnacentral:tRNA from 1 species
GCCCCGGUGGCUUAGCGGUUAGAGCAACGGCCUUGUAAGCCGUGGGUCGCGGGUUCGAAUCCCGCCCGGGGCUCCA